GACGAACGCUGGCGGCGUGCUUAACACAUGCAAGUCGAACGGAAAGGCCUCUUUCGGGGGGUACUCGAGUGGCGAACGGGUGAGUAACACGUGAGUAACCUGCCCUUGACUUUGGGAUAACUUCAGGAAACUGGGGCUAAUACCGGAUAGGAGCUCCUGCUGCAUGGUGGGGGUUGGAAAGUUUCGGCGGUUGGGGAUGGACUCGCGGCUUAUCAGCUUGUUGGUGGGGUAGUGGCUUGCCAAGGCUUUGACGGGUAGCCGGCCUGAGAGGGUGACCGGCCACAUUGGGACUGAGAUACGGCCCAGACUCCUACGGGAGGCAGCGGUGGGGAAUAUUGCACAAUGGGUGGAAGCCUGAUGCAGCAACGCCGUGUGCGGGAUGACGGCCUUCGGGUUGUAAACCGCUUUCGCUCAUGACGAAGCUUUGUGUGACGGUAGUGGGUAAAGAAGCACCGGCUAACUACGUG
rnacentral:rRNA from 1 species